AAUAAGCGGAGGAAAAGAAACCAACAGGGAUUGCCCUAGUAACGGCGAGUGAAGCGGCAACAGCUCAAAUUUGAAAUCUGGCCUCUGGCCCGAGUUGUAAUUUGUAGAGGAUGCUUUUGGUGAGGUGCCUUCCGAGUUCCCUGGAACGGGACGCCAUAGAGGGUGAGAGCCCCGUCUGGUCGGACACCGAUCCUCUGUAAAGCUCCUUCGACGAGUCGAGUAGUUUGGGAAUGCUGCUCUAAAUGGGAGGUAUAUGUCUUCUAAAGCUAAAUACCGGCCAGAGACCGAUAGCGCACAAGUAGAGUGAUCGAAAGAUGAAAAGCACUUUGAAAAGAGGGUUAAACAGUACGUGAAAUUGUUGAAAGGGAAGCGCUUGUGACCAGACUUGGGCUUGGUUAAUCAUCCAGUGUUCUUCACUGGUGCACUUGGCCGGCCCAGGCCAGCAUCAGUUCGGUGCGGGGGAUAAAGGCUUCGGGAAUGUGGCUCCUCCGGGAGUGUUAUAGCCCGUUGCGUAAUACCCUGCGCUGGACUGAGGUUCGCGCAUCUGCAAGGAUGCUGGCGUAAUGGUCAUCAGCGACCCGUCUUGAAACACGGACCAAGGAGUCGUCUUCGUAUGCGAGUGUUCGGGUGUUAAACCCCUACGCGUAAUGAAAGUGAACGCAGGUGAGAGCUUCGGCGCAUCAUCGACCGAUCCUGAUGUUCUCGGAUGGAUUUGAGUAAGAGCAUACGGSGCCGGACCCGAAAGAAGGUGAACUAUGCCUGUAUAGGGUGAAGCCAGAGGAAACUCUGGUGGAGGCUCGCAGCGGUUCUGACGUGCAAAUCGAUCGUCAAAUAUGGGCAUGGGGGCGAAAGACUAAUCGAACCUUCUAGUAGCU
rnacentral:rRNA from 1 species